UACGGAGGGGGCAAGCGUUAUUCGGAAUUAUUGGGCGUAAAGGGCGCGUAGGCGGCUAGAUGUGUCAAAGGUGGAAUCCCUCGGCUCAACUGAGGAACUGCCUUUGAAACUGUCUGGCUUGAGGCCGGGAGAGGGUAGCGGAAUUCCCAGUGUAGCGGUGAAAUGCGUAGAUAUUGGGAGGAACACCAGUGGCGAAGGCGGCUACCUGGACCGGUUCUGACGCUGAGGCACGAAGGCCAGGGGAGCAAACGGG
rnacentral:rRNA from 1 species